UAUCCAGUUAGAGUAUCACGCCCUUGAUUUUUUUUUCCUGAUUUUAUCCCCUUCUUCCUUAUUUCUACCGUCUUCUCCACAACAUCAACUCAUCCAUUCGAGAACCUAAACAUCGUUCUCUGUAUACAAUAAUCAACCUCAUCUAUAUAGUUCUCGCCUCCCACCCAAACGAUUUUCAUCGUCUUUCGCUGCUGCACUUGCAAUUUCAGAUAAAUAUUAUCUUUGUGAUGCCGCAUAUACUUGCACUCAGGGAUUUAUGACUCCAUAUCACAAUACGAGGUAUUGGUUAGCAGAUUUUCGACGUCGACGUGCAUUAAGUAAAGAAGAAAUGUUCAAUCAUGCUCACGUACAACUUAAAAAUGUUAUCGAACGUGCAUACGGUGUCUAGAAAGCAAGAUUUUCAAUCCUGAAGCAAAUGGCUCCGCAUCCUUUUCCAAUACAGAAAAAUAUGGUGAUUGUUUGUUUCGCGAUUCAUAAUUCUAUAAGGAAAUGCAACAUCCAAGAUUAGUUGAUUUUGGAAUACGAUGAGAACACCAUGUUUACCCCUACUAUAGAACAACAUGAAGGAAGCAAUGGAAUAGAAGUCGAUGAAACAAAGUGGAGUUCUCAAAAAAAUGAAUAUAUGACUAAUUUACAUGAUCAGAUUGCUAAUCAGUUAUUGUCAAUGUUUCAAAUUAAGAUUUGUACACAAAAUUUUAAGUUGAAGUUUAAUUUAUUUUCUUGUCUAAAUAUAUUUCAAUUA